ACGGAAGGCAGCAGUGGGGAAUAUUGCACAAUGGAGGAAACUCUGAUGCAGCGACGCCGCGUGAGUGAUGAAGUAUUUCGGUAUGUAAAGCUCUAUCAGUAGGGAAGAUAAUGACGGUACCUAACUAAGAAGCACCGGCUAAAUACGUGCCAGCAGCCGCGGUAGUACGUAUGGUGCAAGCGUUAUCCGGAUUUACUGGGUGUAAAGGGAGCGUAGGUGGUUUGGCAAGCCAGAAGUGAAAACCCGGGGCUCAACCCCGUGGAUUGCUUUUGGAACUGUUGAACUAGAGUGCAGGAGGGGUAAGUGGAAUUCCCAGUGUAGCGGUGAAAUGCGUAGAUAUUGGGAAGAACACCGGUGGCGAAGGCGGCUUACUGGACUGUAACUGACACUGAGGCUCGAAAGCGUGGGGAGCAAACAGGAUUAGAUACCCUGGUA
rnacentral:rRNA from 1 species